CCCCCCGCCCACUCCCCCACACACCAACAACUACCCGGGCAGCAGGCGGAAGGAUGAUCUUGCAGGCAACUCAACACUGGAGAGAUGAAGGUGGAGGACGGACCUGCAGGACAGCUGAAACUGGCGCCGGCAGGAAGGGAGAGGAGCCGAAGUGGAGGAGGCUGCACAACACCGGGGCUGGGAGACAGGAUUCGUAUUUAUGAAUGUGGACGGACAUACCUUAAACUUGGUUGCAAAAGGCCUUGAAUCGUAGAAAUGAAGACAUUCCAAAUAGAACUGCGUUUGGCUGGCAUCUGUCACUACUCUCCAAUUACUAAGUUUGCUGCAUUUGGCCUGGCUGAGUUGGGUGAAGAAUGGUAUCCUCUGAAAUGAGAGACCAGUUGUGUGCAGGUGUGGCGAAUGUGGUGACAAUGUCUGCAGACUGUCGAGGAGUUGCAUUGGUGGCACGGCUGAUACCUCCGACAUGUGUCGACGUGGUGGUGUGAUGUGUACUGGUCGUGAAGACACCUAGACUGCGUUUCCAUGGUGGCAACACGUGUGUGGAUGGACCUAACAAAUAUCAAAAUUUAUUUUGUAUCCACAGUGAUGUGAUGACACACCCAAUGCUUAUGUACGUACCAGCUUCUCAGCAUCCUCAGAUUCAGUAGGAAUGGAGACAGGGCCAGAGGCUCUUUUUGACUUUUUGGAGACUGUAAAUGGAUAUGAAGCAUUUAAUUAAUGUCUAAUUGUAAAAAAAACACAUAAGUUGCUACUAAUGAAGGCAAA